UCUCGCACACACUGUACAUGUUCCUCUGCUGUGGGUUUAGCCUUUACACUCUGCUUUAGGCACUUCUUAUGGAAAUAGAAUAAUCCAAAUGUUUUAUAGAAAUCAGGGAGAAGUCUUCAGCGGGAGAUGAGUGCAGACUCCUAUUUGUAUUAUGCCUUGUAGGGAUGGCUGUUUGGCCCAACUGUGUAUUGCCAGCUUUACUGUAUAUACGAUGCUGCCAAGUCCAGUGGAAAAAGUGUCAGAUGUCCAUCCAUUCAUCUUAUUCUUCAUCAGUGGUUUGACAGGAGCUCCGAUCAGCGUCUGAGCAGGCCUCUGUCAGAGCAGGCUGAAGAAAGGCUCAGGAAUGCUGUUGGCUGCCAAGUGGGAUUGGCUCCAGCGCCACCCCCCCCCACAACCCAGAAGGAUAAGCGGCUUAGAUAAUGUGUGUGUUUGUAUUUUGUCAUAAUGGACUUUUUCAUCAUUUUAUAAAAGCUCUCCUUGGUAGAGCCUUACUGAUAUGAAUAUUACCAAUUUUAUACCAGUUUUAUGAAGCAUAAAAUUUGAAUAAAGAUAAAAUGCUGAUAUGAUUUUAUAUUUAUAUUUUAGAUUGUUAUACACCAAUGGUUUUUGUUAAAUAGUGUUUUACUGACUGAUAUACAGAUAUGAUUGUUCUCAGUUGUGAAUUGUUGGAACAGUUAAAACUCAAAGUCUUAACUCCUGUGUGGUUUGGAUUUUGCUGCUCACACUGAUGCAGAACAUGUGAUGCAGGACACUGCUGGCAUUAAGUGUCAUUCUUUUGCCUGACCACUUGUCUGCGCUAGAAAUCUAUGGCGGAAAUUCUGUUCCCAAUAAUGGCCUCAAGAGGGCAGGAAAGUUCUCCUCUAGCCUCGAAUUUAGCCACUUCUCACACAUUAAGUCUUUGCCAGCCUGAUAAAAGCCAUUACCACUGUGUGCAAAUGACCACAGAUCCACACUACGUUAGUCCUGCAGCUUUUCUGCAUAGAUGCUACAUCAUUUGAGAGAGCUGGCUGUAUUAUAUCAGCCAGUCAUCAGCACUUUCUUUUCCUGCAGGCAAUUGUGUUCACGGCCCAGGAUAUGUGUCUCUUGUGGUUUGCCCUCUUUCUCCUUCAUCCUCUGCUUUCUCAAACCCAAGGGUGUUGUGUUUGCUCGGUUUUGCUGUGCUGGCAUUGUUCUUUAUUAACAAGUUCUACAGUUGUGGCUGGAUGUGACAUUUGCAUCUGGAGAUAAUGGCAGAAAAGUAGCCUGUGUUAGGGCAGAAAAGCAGAAUAAAUCAAUCAGAGAUAUAACCUAAA